AGUGAACGCUGGCGGUAGGCCUAACACAUGCAAGUCGAACGGCAGCACAGUAAGAUCUUGCUCUUACGGGUGGCGAGUGGCGGACGGGUGAGGAAUACAUCGGAAUCUACUUUUUCGUGGGGGAUAACGUAGGGAAACUUACGCUAAUACCGCAUACGACCUACGGGUGAAAGCAGUGGAUCUUCGGACCUUGCGCGAUUGAAUGAGCCGAUGUCGGAUUAGCUAGUUGGCUGGGUAAAGGCCCACCAAGGCGACGAUCCGUAGCUGGUCUGAGAGGAUGAUCAGCCACACUGGAACUGAGACACGGUCCAGACUCCUACGGGAGGCAGCAGUGGGGAAUAUUGGACAAUGGGCGCAAGCCUGAUCCAGCAAUACCGCGUGAGUGAAGAAGGCCUUCGGGUUGUAAAGCCCUUUUGUUAGGAAAGAACAAAAGCAGAUUAAUACACGGCUGUUCUGACGGUACCCAAAGAAUAAGCACCGGCUAACUUCGUG
rnacentral:rRNA from 1 species